GGGGUGCACAAAGAGCUGCGAAGGGGACAUAGGGCAACUGACCCCAGCUGGCUGAAGGGAUAUUUCACACAGUAUGGCUGGUGGUGUACCCAGCAAUAAAAGCUGAGGUAAAGAAGGAGAGGGGAUGUUUGGAGUGGUGUUUGCCUUCCCAAGGAAUCACUAUGGUAAUAAGCCCUGCUUUCCUGGAAAAAGAUGAACAUCUGCCAUUGAUGGGAAGCAGCAUUCAGGAACAUCUGCAAGUUGGUCCAAAAGGUAUAUGGAAGCCCCAGGGAGAAGACAACUGUACCAUACCUCACAACAAGUAAGUGAUAAAAGUUUAUCACUCACUCUGUAUGACGUAUUUCAGUGACUACUUACCCUCAUUCUUUCCCUCAUUUUGGAAAGAAGAGAAACA
ensembl:lncRNA